rnacentral:rRNA from 1 species
UUUGGAGAGUUUGAUCCUGGCUCAGAACGAACGCUGGCGGCGUGCUUAACACAUGCAAGUCGUGCGAGAAAGGAGGGGGCAACCCUUCCGAGUAAAGCGGCGAACGGGUGAGUAACACGUGAGCAACCUGCCCAGAAGAGCGGGAUAACCUUGCGAAAGCGGGGCUAAUACCGCAUAAGACCACGUCUCGCAUGAGAUGGGGUCAAAGGUGGCCUCUCCUUGGAAGCUGCCGCUUU